AGGAGAAAGGGAUGACAAAAUCAUAGCAGUAUGUGCUGAUGACCCUGAAUUCCGCCACUAUACAGACAUCAAGGAGAUUCCCCCACACCGGCUAGCCGAAAUUCGCCGAUUCUUCGAGGACUACAAGAAGAACGAAAACAAGAAAGUCGAUGUGGAAGACUUCCUGCCAGCGGAGGCUGCCACUGAUGCCAUCAAGUACUCCAUGGAUUUGUAUGCUGCCUACAUAGUUGAAAGCUUGAGGCAGUAAGUUUUUCUUUUUCAAUGAAUAAGAGACUGGCUGUUAAAUCCAAUCAGCACAGCAUUUUUAUUGAGGCUGCUUGAUUACUUAUAUCUUGCUGCCUCAUCUUUUAACCCUUCAACUGCAACAGCUCA
rnacentral:misc_RNA from 1 species